rnacentral:rRNA from 1 species
AACAGUUUAAAUGGCCGCAGUACUUUGACUGUGCAAAGGUAGCAUAAUCACUUGCUUCUUAAUUAGAAGCUGGAAUGAAAGGGACGACGAAAUCUAGACUAUUUGUGAAAUAAUUUAAGUUGACAUUGUGGUCAAAAGGCCACAAUAUAUCAAAGGGACGAUAAGACCCUAUAAAACUUUACUUUUAGAUUAAAUCUGCUUAGGCAGGGUUUGUAAUAAUGGUUAAACUGGGGCGGUAUAUAUAUAAACAAUUCUAAAAUAAAUAUCUUGAAUAAAUUCUAAGAACUUUAUUAAUAAAUAUAGAACAAGUUACUUUAGGGAUAACAGCAUAAUUCUCUCAGAGAGUACUAAUUGGCGAGAGAGCUUAUGACCUCGAUGUUGAAUUGGGGUUCCUUAUAUAAGCAGAAAUAUAUAUAGGUAGUCUGUUCGACUAUUAUACCCCC